GGAUUAGGCAUGCAAGUCGAACGAGAAAGGUUCCUUCGGGGACCGAGUACAGUGGCGAAAGGGUGAGUAAUGCAUAGAUAACCUGCCCUCGAGAUGGGAAUAACCUCGGGAAACUGGGGCUAAUACCCAAUGAGACCACGUGUCGCAAGGCAAGUGGUCAAAGAUAGCUUCGGCCCUCGCUCGAGGAGGGGUCUAUGUCCUAUUAGCUUGUUGGUGGGGUAGCGGCCCACCAAGGCAACGAUGGGUAGCCGACCUGAGAGGGUGGCCGGCCACACUGGGACUGAGACACUGCCCAGACUCCUACGGGAGGCUGCAGUCGAGAAUCUUCCGCAAUGCGCGCAAGCGUGACGGAGCGACGCCGCGUGGAGGAUGAAGGCCUUCGGGUUGUAAACUCCUGUCACCUGGGAAGAAAGGUAGGUAGUUAAUAGCUGUCCUGCUUGACGUUACCAGGAGAGGAAGCACCGGCUAAAUACGUGCCAGCAGCCGCGGUAAUACGUAUGGUGCAAACGUUGUUCGGAAUCACUGGGCUUAAAGAGCACGUAGGCUGUUGAGAAAGUCUGAUGUGAAAUCCCUCAGCUCAACUGAGGAACUGCAUUAGAAACUUCUCGGCUAGAGUGCAGGAGGGGAGAGUGGAAUUCCUGGUGGAGCGGUGAAAUGCGUAGAUAUCAGGAGGAACGCCGGUGGCGAAAGCGACUCUCUGGCCUGCUACUGACGCUGAGGUGCGAAAGCUAGGGGAGCGAACGGGAUUAGAUACCCCGGUAGUCCUAGCCCUAAACGAUGGGCACUAAGUAGAGGGGUUUU
rnacentral:rRNA from 1 species